AUUCCAGCUCCAAUAGCAUAUAUUAAAGUUGUUGCAGUUAAAAAGCUCGUAGUUGGAUUUCUGGCAUGAUGCGCCUGGCCCGCCGUGAUUACGCGUGUGUGUGCUAGUGCGCGUCUGCCAUCCAUUGGCAGAAUAUGUCUACCCUUAAUUGGGCCGGAUAUGUGAUGUCAAUCUUUUACUUUGAAAAAAUUAGAGUGUUUAAAGCAGGCAUUUGCUAUGAAUACAUUAGCAUGGAAUAAUAAUCUAGGACUUCGGUUCUAUUUUGUUGGUUUCUAGAUCUGGAGUAAUGAUUGAUAGGGAUAUUUGGGGGUGCUAGUAUUAAGGGGCCAGAGGUGAAAUUCUUGGAUUCUCUUAAGACUAACUUAUGCGAAAGCAUUCACCAAGGAUGUCUUCAUCA
rnacentral:rRNA from 1 species